rnacentral:rRNA from 1 species
UACGGAGGGUGCGAGCGUUGUCCGGAAUCAUUGGGCGUAAAGGGCGCGUAGGUGGCCCGGUCAGUCCGUGGUGAAAGCGCGGGGCUCAACCCCGCGUCGGCCAUGGAUACUGCUGGGCUGGAGCACUGUAGAGGCAGGCGGAAUUCCGGGUGUAGCGGUGGAAUGCGCAGAUAUCAGGAGGAACACCGAUGGCGAAGGCGGGUCUCUGGGCAGUAACUGACGCUGAGGAGCGAAAGCGUGGGGAGCGAACAGG